rnacentral:rRNA from 1 species
GUAGGUGGCAAGCGUUGUCCGGGAAUUAUUGGGGCGUAAGGCGCGCGCAGGCGGUUCUUUAAGUCUGAUGUGAAAGCCCACGGGCUCAACCGUGGAGGGUCAUUGGAAACUGGAGAACUUGAGUACAGAAGAGGAAAGCGGAAUUCCACGUGUAGCGGUGAAAUGCGUAGAGAUGUGGAGGAACACCAGUGGCGAAGGCGGCUUUCUGGUCUGUAACUGACGCUGAGGCGCGAAAGCGUGGGGAGCAAACAGGAUUAGAUGCCCUGGUAGUCCACGCCGUAAACGAUGAGUGCUAAGUGUUAGGGGGUUUCCGCCCCUUAGUGCUGCAGCUAACGCAUUAAGCACUCCGCCUGGGGAGUACGGCCGCAAGGCUG